rnacentral:rRNA from 1 species
GACGUAGGGCGCGAGCGUUGUCCGGAUUUAUUGGGCGUAAAGAGCUCGUAGGCGGCUUGUUGCGUCGACUGUGAAAACCUGCGGCUCAACCGUGUGGUCUGCAGUCGAUACGGGCAGGCUGGAGUUCGGUAGGGGAGACUGGAAUUCCUGGUGUAGCGGUGAAAUGCGCAGAUAUCAGGAGGAACACCGGUGGCGAAGGCGGGUCUCUGGGCCGGUAUUGACGCUGAGGCGCGAAAGCUAGGGUAGCAAACGGG